CACGUAGUUAGCCGGGGCUUCUUAGUCAGGUACCGUCAUUUUCUUCCCUGCUGAUAGAGCUUUACGUACCGAAAUACUUCUUCACUCACGCGGCGUCGCUGCAUCAGGGUUUCCCCCAUUGUGCAAUAUUCCCCACUGCUGCCUCCCGUAGGAGUUUAGGCCGUGUCUCAGUCCCAAUGUGGCCGUUCACCCUCUCAGGCCGGCUACUGAUCGUCGCCUUGGUGGGCCUUUACCCCGCCAACCAGCUAAUCAGACGCGGAUCCAUCGUAUACCACCGGAGUUUUUCACACUGCUUCAUGCGAAGCUGUGCGCUUAUGCGGUAUUAGCACCUAUUUCUAAGUGUUAUCCCCCAGUAUACGGCAGGUUCUCCACGCGUUACUCACCCGUCCGCCACUAACUCAUAUAUCACUAGGUUUCAAUAUGAGUCCGUUCGACUUUGCUAUGUGUUAAGCUAACGCCGCCAGCCGUUCACUCCUUGACGCCUAGGGACUACGAAAACUCUA
rnacentral:rRNA from 1 species